rnacentral:rRNA from 1 species
UACGUAGGGGGCAAGCGUUGUCCGGAUUUAUUGGGCGUAAAGAGCGUGUAGGCGGCCAGACAAGUCUGCUGUGAAAACUCGAGGCUCAACCUCGAGCUGUCGGUGGAAACUGUCUGGCUAGAGUCCGGAAGAGGAGAGUGGAAUUCCUGGUGUAGCGGUGAAAUGCGCAGAUAUCAGGAAGAACACCUAUGGCGAAGGCAGCUCUCUGGGACGGUACCGACGCUGAGACGCGAAAGCGUGGGGAGCGAACAGG